CACUUGACCUCGACUUCAUUUCAUGGAUCAGUGAACAAGGUUAAGUUUUGGUGGUCAAGUCCAUAUCUCAGAUACUAUAAGCAAUAGGUCUAGUAUAUUCGGUGUAUGGAAGGACUGUAAGGUGUACAUGUCCAACUGGCAGGUGUCAUCUGACCUUGACCUCAUUUUCAUGGUUCAGUGGUUAUAGUUAAGUUUUUGUGUUUUGGUCUGUUUUUCUUAUACUGUAUGCAAUAGGUCUACAAUAUUUGGUGUAUGGAAUGAUUGUAAGGUGUACAUGUCUAGCUGGCAGGUGUCAUCUGACCUUGACCUCAUUUUCAUUGUUCAGUGGUUAUAGUUAAAUUUUUGUGUUUUGGUCUGUUUUUCUUAUACUGUAUGCAAUAGGUCUACAAUAUUUGGUGUAUGGAAUGAUUGUAAGGUGUACAUGUCUAGCUGGCAGGUGUCAUCUGACCUUGACCUCAUUUUCAUGGUUCAGUGGUCAAAGUUAAGUUUUUGAGAUUUGGUCUUUUUUUCUAAUACUGCAUGCAAUAGGUCUACUAUAUUUGGUGUAUGGAAUGAUUGUAAGGUGUACAUGUCUAGCUGGCAGGUGUCAUCUGACCUUGACCUCAUUUUCAUGGUUCAGUGGUCAAAGUUAAGUUUUUGAGAUUUGAUCUUUUUUUCUAAUACUAUAUGCAAUAGUUCAACUACAUUUGGUGUAUGGAAAUAUUUUAUGAUCUAUAUGUCAGUCACGCAGGUUUUAUUUGACCUUGACCUCAUUUUCAAGGUUCAUUGCUCAGUGUUAAGUUUUUGUGUUUUGGUCUGUUUUUCUUAAACUAUAAGCAAUAGGUCAACCAUAUUUGUUGUAUGGAAGAAUUGUUAGCUGUACAUGCCUGCCUAGCAUGGUUCAUCUGACCUUGACCUCAUUUUCAUGGU